ACGAACGCUGUCGGCGUGCUUAACACAUGCAAGUCGAACGGUUUUAUAGGUUUACUUAUGAGGCCGUGGCAGACGGGUGAGGAACACAUGGGAACGUACCUUUGAGUUCGGAAUAACCAUUGGAAACGAUGGAUAAUACCGGAUACGUCCGCAAGGAGAAAGGUUGAUCUGCUCGGAGAGCGGCCCAUGCCGGAUUAGGUAGUUGGUGGGGUAAAGGCCUACCAAGCCUAUGAUCUGUAACUGGUUUGAGAGGAUGAACAGUCACACUGGGACUGAGACACGGCCCAGACUCCUACGGGAGGCAGCAGUGGGGAAUAUUGGACAAUGGGGGAAACCCUGAUCCAGCGACGCCGAGUGGGUGAUGAAGGUCUUCGGAUUGUAAAGCCCUUUUUUAGGGGAAGAUAAUGACGGUACCCUAAGAAUAAGCACCGGCUAACUUCGU
rnacentral:rRNA from 1 species